rnacentral:rRNA from 1 species
UUUUAUGAGAGUUUGAUCCUGGCUCAGGACGAACGCUGGCGGCGUGCCUAAUACAUGCAAGUCGUACGCUUCUUUUUCCACCGGAGCUUGCUCCACCGGAAAAAGAAGAGUG